GAUGAACGCUGGCGGCGUGCCUAAUACAUGCCAGUAGAACGCUGAAGGAGGAGCUUGCUCUUCUGGAUGAGUUGCGAACGGGUGAGUAACGCGUAGGUAACCUGCCUGGUAGCGGGGGAUAACUAUUGGAAACGAUAGCUAAUACCGCAUGACAACAGUUAUUGCAUGAUAACUGUUUAAAAGGGGCAACUGCUCCACUACCAGAUGGACCUGCGUUGUAUUAGCUAGUUGGUGAGGUAACGGCUCACCAAGGCGACGAUACAUAGCCGACCUGAGAGGGUGAUCGGCCACGCUGGGACUGAGACACGGCCCAGACUCCUACGGGAGGCAGCAGUAGGGAAUCUUCGGCAAUGGACGGAAGUCUGACCGAGCAACGCCGCGUGAGUGAAGAAGGUUUUCGGAUCGUAAAGCUCUGUUGCAAGAGAAGAACGAGUGUGAGAGUGGAAAGUUCACACUGUGACGGUAUCUUACCAGAAAGGGACGGCUAACUACGUG
rnacentral:rRNA from 1 species